rnacentral:rRNA from 1 species
CAUGCAAGUCGAACGGAAAGGCUCUUUCGGGAGUGCUCGAGUGGCGAACGGGUGAGUAACACGUGGGUGAUCUGCCCUGCACUUUGGGAUAAGCCUGGGAAACUGGGUCUAAUACCGAAUAGGACCACGCGCUUCAUGGUGUGUGGUGGAAAGCUUUUGCGGUGUGGGAUGGGCCCGCGGCCUAUCAGCUUGUUGGUGGGGUAAUGGCCUACCAAGGCGACGACGGGUAGCCGGCCUGAGAGGGUGACCGGCCACACUGGGACUGAGAUACGGCCCAGACUCCUACGGGAGGCAGCAGUGGGGAAUAUUGCACAAUGGGCGCAAGCCUGAUGCAGCGACGCCGCGUGAGGGAUGACGGCCUUCGGGUUGUAAACCUCUUUCACCAGGGACGAAGCGUAAGUGACGGUACCUGGAGAAGAAGCACCGGCCAACUACGUGCCAGCAGCCGCGGUAAUACGUAGGGUGCGAGCGUUGUCCGGAAUUACUGGGCGUAAAGAGCUCGUAGGUGGUUUGUCGCGUUGUUCGUGAAAACUCACA